UCAUCUCAUUCUAACUCUCCUGCUGUGGGCAGGGAGACCUUCUGCUAUCCCAGAAGAACUGAACAUCCACAAAGAUGCCCUGGGAAGUUACGUGCACUGCAUCAACUGGUGGCUUUAUAAAGAAGAAAACUUCCUUUGGACCAUCUCUAUAAAAUCACAUGCAUUUUUAUAGCCAGACAAGCAAAAUUCUAAGUCCUAACUAAACUGCCUUGCCCUUAAA